rnacentral:rRNA from 1 species
UACGUAGGGGGCAAGCGUUGUUCGGAAUUACUGGGCGUAAAGGGCGCGUAGGCGGCCUGCUAAGUCGGAUGUGAAAUCCCUCGGCUCAACCGAGGAACUGCAUCCGAUACUGGCGGGCUUGAAUCCGGGAGAGGGAUGUGGAAUUCCAGGUGUAGCGGUGAAAUGCGUAGAUAUCUGGAGGAACAUCGGUGGCGAAGGCGGCAUCCUGGACCGGUAUUGACGCUGAGGCGCGAAAGCCAGGGGAGCAAACGGG